rnacentral:rRNA from 1 species
CUACGUGCCAGCAGCCGCGGUAAUACGUAGGUCCCGAGCGUUGUCCGGAUUUAUUGGGCGUAAAGCGAGCGCAGGCGGUUAGAUAAGUCUGAAGUUAAAGGCUGUGGCUCAACCAUAGUUCGCUUUGGAAACUGUCAAACUUGAGUGCAGAAGGGGAGAGUGGAAUUCCAUGUGUAGCGGUGAAAUGCGUAGAUAUAUGGAGGAACACCGGUGGCGAAAGCGGCUCUCUGGUCUGUAACUGACGCUGAGGCUCGAAAGCGUGGGGAGCGAACAGGAUUAGAUACCCUGGUAGUCCACGCCGUAAACGAUGAGUGCUAGGUGUUGGAUCCUUUCCGGGAUUCAGUGCCGCAGCUAACGCAUUAAGCACUCCGCCUGGGGAGUACGACCGCAAGGUUGAAACUCAAAGGAAUUGACGGGGGCCCGCACAAGCGGUGGAGCAUGUGGUUUAAUUCGAAGCAACGCGAAGAACCUUACCAGGUCUUGACAUCCCGAUGCUAUUUCUAGAGAUAGAAAGUUA